rnacentral:rRNA from 1 species
UAUCUCUGUAGAGUCUGCAUAUCAAUAAGCGGAGGAAAAGAAACUAACUAGGAUUCCCUUAGUAACGGCGAGUGAAGCGGGAAGAGCUCAAAUUUGAAAUCUUCAAGGUUUUACCUUGACGAAUUGUAGUUUAAAGAAGUGUUUUCUGUUGGUGUUUUGGUAAAAGUUCUUUGGAAUAGGACAUCAUAGAGGGUGGGAAUCCCGUAUUUGACCAUUACUUCCAGCGUUGUGAUACACUUUCAAAGAGUCGGAUUGUUUGGGAAUGCAGUCCAAAAUGGGUGGUAAAUUUCAUCUAAAGCUAAAUAUUGGCGAGAGACCGAUAGCGAACGAGUACCGUGAGGGAAAGAUGAAAAGAACUUUGAAAAGAGAGUUAAACAGUACGUGAAAUUGUCAAAAGGGAAGCGUUUGACACCAGUGUUGUCUUCUCGAAAAUCAAUUAAAAAAAGUUGGAUUUUGUAUUGUUAAGACCUUAUCAGCUUACUGUACUCUUUUCUUGCUUUUUUUAAUGCACUUUUCGUUUAACAAGUCAACAUCAAUUUCUUUUGUUGUAAAAGAGUCAUUGGAAGGUGGCUUUCACUUCGGUGAAAGUGUUUAUAGCCUUCGGCUUCUGCAAUCGGAGAGAUUGAGGUCUGCAGCGUAGAUCCUUCGGGGCUAGAUACGUAGAUGCUAAGUUAUAGUUUUUUAUAGACAACUUGUUGACUAUAAUUAAUCAUGUAGCUUACUCGUUUGCGCUAUUUUACCUACGCUUAGGAUGUUGACGAGACUGUCGAUCUC